GGGGUGGACGGCCUCUGCAAAGUGGCCUGAUCAGAUUCCUGAGCAUCUAGGUCAUUGGGCAGGAUGGCGCCUGGCUGGAGCCACCGUUGCUCUCUUCUGACCUUGAAAGGUGUGACAAGUGGAUCUGCAUUCAUUGCUCUGUGAGCCUCUAUUGAGUAUCUAUGAUGUGCUGGGCAUUGACCUGAUCUUUAUGAGAAUUUGGUUAUUUGGAUGAAAUGCUUAUUUCUUUUUUAACAUAAGCAUUGACUGGAAAUAUUGGUUAUUCUGUCUGAUAUUACAUGAAGGUCAGAUGCCCUCCAUGCAACCAUGAGGUCGGAUGGCAGUUUGAUGCUGAACCAGCAAACAAGCCUACUCAGCAUGAAACUAUGAGUAUAAAAACCUUUAUGAUGACCUACCUCCACUUGGAUCAAUGAAGAGAGCAAGAAGACAACUUAAUUAAGAGACAGCAUUUAAUGACAAGGAAAGAAAAUGUUCCUUAUCUUGUAAAUUCCUUCGCUAAUGGAAUCUUCCAGCCCACCCUGGGAAGAAGAGUUGUGGACAUAGACACAUACAGAGAGAAGACCAUGUGAAGUCACAGGGAGAAGACAGCCACCUACAUACCAAGGAGAGAGGCUGUACAAGAAACCAACCCUGAUGACACCUUGAUCUUGGACUUCCAGCUUCCAGAUUUACAGGAAAAUAAAUUUCCGUUGUUUAAGCCACACAGUCUAUGGCAUUUUGUUAUGGCAGUUCUAGCAAACUAAUAUACAGCCUAUAUCAUAUACUACUCAGUUUGACUACUUUUAUUUUGGAACAUAUUAUACUUUUGCUACUUUUGCUUAUGCAGUUUCUUUUGCUUAGUGUCCCUUGCUAGUAGAUAUUUAUAUUUAAAGAUAUUUUAGGCCUGGCACAGUGGCUCACACCUGUAAUUCCAACACUUUGGCAGGCUGAGGUGAGUAAAUCACUUGAGGCCAGGAGUUUGAGAUCAGCCUGGCUAACAUGGCGAAACCCCUUCUCUACUAAAAAAUACAAAAGUUAGCUGG
rnacentral:lncRNA from 10 species